rnacentral:lncRNA from 1 species
GCCUGCAAGAACCUUUAUAGCGCAGCUCUCCUUAUCUUGGAGGCAAGGACAUUCUAUGUGCCCGCCCUGGAAAGGCCUGAACCUAUAACAUCUGGGCUGUGAUGGUUUCUGAGGUGGACACCAGGACCAACACUUGUCAGCAUGGCACAAUCAGGCAUUUCUCUUCUAAGUAGGAUGUGCAGCCAAAAAACUCAGCUGUCUGUGAGCUGUCUUCUCCCAGGAACGAGGACAUAAGAUGUACAUCAGGUCUGAACUGCACAGAUCCACUUACAUGUGGAUUUUCUUCCACUGCGGCCUCUCCUGAGACAGCAAGACCAACCCCUCCUUUUCAUCCUCCUCCUCCUCCUCAGCCUACUCAACAUGAAAAUGACAAGGAUGAAACCUUUAUGAUGAUCCACUCAUCCAUUUUCUUUUCUCUAGCUUAUUGUGAACAUCUUAGGCUAGUGUGUCGACUUCUGACUUGGCUCAUCUGAACCCAAGACCUUGGACACAUUCACAAACACCCCAGGGUCUUGGGCUUCCAGUUUGCUUUAGAAGGACAAAGGGCAGGUCAAGCUUGUUUGCCAUAACUAGAAGGAGCAGAAACUGCUCCCAGCAGAACAAGAUCAAAUCAUGGGGAAGAGUGGUCACCUGCCAUUUCUAGAGGAAGCUUUUGCUUUUGGUCACUGAGGACCCUAAGUCUUACAUGAGAAGAAAACAAAUAGGGUGAUGCUGCAUGCUUCUGUCCCCAAAGAAUCCCUGUGCAGGUGCCGAGGGUGCCCCAAAGACGAGGCUGUGCUUGCCGUGCCCACCACAGAAGCACAUUUGACCUGAUCAAAAGCAGAUGGAAAAGGUCCUGAAGCACAGAUAUUUUCUCAGUGAUGUUGUUUUCUCCAAAAUGAAAGAGGGAAGGUACCCUGGCUUAGGCCCCUGGUGUUCUGAUUGAAGGUGAGAAUAGAAGUAUCUUCUUCAACGUGUUCUCCCAUCUGACUGCAACAAGUGUGCUCCAGCCACCAGUGUCCCAGUUGCUCUGAAUGAUGGUGAGAAGGGUACCCAAACACUUGAAUGGUACUGUACCCUCUACUUGCCAUCUGAAUCCUCACUUGUGGAACCCAGGCACUCUGGCUGUAUUCGCGAGUAAGCAUAGGUGUGGGACUGUGUCCUGCCAUUGCACCAUCUUUAAUCUGGACUUGUGGACCUCAGGCUCUCUGACUAUUCAUGGACAGAAGUUUCUGCAGGCACAGGUGGUGUGCUGUUUCCUCCCAUUGUACACCUGAAUUCUGGACUUGUGGACCCCAGGUGUUCUGGCUGUGUUCAUGAACAGAAGUGUCCCCCCCAAACAAACCCAUAUAUGGUGCCAUCUCCUCCCAUUACAGGUAUGGUGCCAUCUCCUCCCAUUGCAGGCAUUGCACUGCCUAUACUCUGGACUUAUGGCCCUCACAUGCUCUGAUUGUAUUCAUAAACAGUAGUUUCUUCAGUCACAGAUAUGGCACCAGCCCCUCCAACAGAAACAGAUGUGCUCAAGCUGAGUGGUCCAAAGGCGUUUGACAGAAGUCAUGAACAGAAGUAUCUUGGGGCACAUGUUUCUUCUCUGUUGUGCAGGCUUCUCCAGCAGUAACAGGUUUGCCCAGGCCAUAUGGGCCCCAAGUGCUCUGACCAGACACAAGAAGAGAAGACUUUCAGUCACAGGUAGUGUGUUGUCCCCUGCUACUGCAACAUAGGUGCUUGGAAAGGUGCAACAGGGUGCUCUGCUUGUGGUGGAAACAUAAAGGCCUCCAAGCAUAGAUGUGCUGCUUUCUCCCUCCCUUUGAGGGAUGCAGAUGUGCUCUGGCCAGCUGCGUUCCAGGUGGUCUGUCUGCAAGACAGAAGUGUCCCAAGCACUGGUAUGUGCGGGCUCCUCCAACCACAACAGACGUGCUUUGGCCAGAUGGUUUCCAGGUGUUAUGAACACAAGAAGGAACAGAGGUGCCUUCUGGAACAUGUUUCUUCUCAGUGAUGUUCUAAGAGGUGUGCUUUGGCAGGACAGGCCCCAGCUGCUCUGACUGUAGGCAGGGAGGAAAGUGUUUCCCAGGAGUUUUUGCUUUCAGUAGUACUGCCCUCUCCAACUGUACCAGAGGUGCUGUAGGCUUGCAGGAACCCCGGUGCUCAUGUGUAAGCCUCCCCAGCAUAAACUAAGGUGCUGCAUGCCCCUCUAGGCCCUGUUCUAAAGCUGAGUGCUUCAGAUGUGGAGCUGGGUCUGGGGCAGACACACUGGUCCUAGAGCUGUCAUUAUCCAAAGAAGCCCCAGAGUCCAUGAAUGGAAAUGGGUCGGGAGAGGGGUUAGCAAAAGGUGAACUGUGCCUGAUGCUGAGCAUCCAGUGAUGGCUCCAGAGCUAGAAGUAGUGGCUGUGCAAAUGGGAAAAGGACCCGAGGUGCUACCCAAGGUUGAGUGGGUGCUAGCAGAGAUAUCAAAGAUGGAUAUGGAGGUAGCACCUACGCAAAAUCUGAUGGCAUUAUGCUCCCAUUGGGUGUCUGGGCUGCAGUAAAGGCUCAGUUUAGAGCUUGCACUGAGAUUUUACGUUUCUCAAAGGGUAAAUGCUAUCAAAUACAUCGGGGGAUCCUGCCAGGGGGAGGCUAGAAAGAGGACAUGGUAACCAUAUUGAUUUCAUCAGAGUUAAAGGCAGACUUGGCUGCCCAGUUGGUCAAGGUCCUAGCUACUAGAAAACAGACAAUUGCUGAAGUAGUGAUAAGUAUGAUGGUGCAGACAGGUAUCCUAGAAGACUGACUCUUUGCUGCUGCCCUUUAGGAGCUCCAAAUGUGACUGAGAGGUGGCUUCUGGGCUAAAGGAAAGGUUCAAAGUGGGGUAGGGCUGUUUACCAUAAACAUAGGUGGGUUAGUGGAGACUGCCUUUUGCAGGGGGCUGUCCACUCCACACUGCAAUGAGCCAGUCAAAUGGGAGUUCCAAGACCAGAGGAAACCUAGCCCAGAGCUUGAGUCUUCCAGGCUAACCCUGGGUCCUGGGGGGACCAGGAGAUGAGACCCAGGGAAUAGUAGUGUCCAUGUCGGUCAUCUCAAAAGUUCAAAGCAGGCUGGGAGGUCAAGUCUGCAGAUGGGCUGACUGGGCAGUGGAAGUGAUAAGGUUGGCCAGUUAAUGAUGGGUUGAUAUAUUCAUCUGUUUUCACACUGCUAUGAAGAACUAUGUGGGGCUGGGUAAUUUAUAAACAAAAGAGGUUUAAUUAACUCACAGUUCCACAUAGCUGGGAGGCCACAGGAAACUUACAGUCAUGGCAGAAGGCAAAGGGGAAGCAAGGCAUUUCUUACUUGUUGGCAGGAGAGAGUGCAGAGGAAACUGCCACUUAUAAACCGUCAGAUCUCAUGAGAAUUCCCUCACUAUCAUGAGAACAGCAUGUGGGAGACCACCCCUACAAUCCAGUCACCUCCCACCAAGUCCCUCCCUCCACACAUGGGAAUUACAAUUCAGAUUACAAUUCAAAAUGAGAUUUGGGUGGGGACAUAGAGCCAAACCAUAUCAGUUAGUCAGUGAAGACUGAGGUAUCUGUAGAAGUGAGGGAGGAGCACAGUGGUCUGGAUGAACCAGUGGGGUGAUAGUCAGGGUACUGGCAUUCAGUGAGCCUGGGGGAGAAGCUUCCUAAAAGCAUUGCCCUUGAAAAGCAGGGCAUACCUAUCUGAUACUGAGGAUGUAGAAUGCAGUUUGGAGAUGCUUCCUAGCUACCUAAUCUUCCAAGGCAAACCAUGCACUCUUCAUCCUGAUAUUUGUGAUGCCUCCCUGGGCUACAUGAUAGAGGGUGCACUGCAAAGGAUGUGAAGGAAAGUCACCACAGGGCAAAGGUGGAAACCCAGGGGCCUUUCCCCAGUGAGACUUUCUGGCUGUUCCUUUGGAACUUCCACCUGCUAGUUGCAGAUGUUUGCCACUGGAUGGGGCCCCAUGCUACGUGGGAACUGUUCAGGACUGUGGGUACUUAGUUCCAGCAGAGUUGGCUCCACCAGGGCACCAGGACUGCAGGCUUCUCAACUCCUGGCCUGGAGAGGCAGCUUCAGCAACCAGUGCCUGGGAAUCCACUAGCCCUUUCUCUGUGAGUCACGUGAGGGCAGAAUCUGCUCAAAGUCAGAGGGCUGGAGCAACCUGGAUUAUUGCCAGAGUGAGGGCCCAGCUCACUGGAGGUCAGAGUAAGAGAGUCAAGGAUGGGAAGAAACAGGGUUUUGCUCAGUCUUGCAGAUACUGAGGCACUCAGGAGGCUCAGGAUGGCAGCAACAGGGCAUGUGCUAAGGUGGGGAAGGAGUGACCAAGUGGCAUGGGUGCAACUUACCCCAGCCUCUUCCUUUUAGGCAGCCACCACAGAGGACAUCUGUUUACCUCUGUACCCUACCCCACCUCCAUGCUGGUAGAUAUAGUCUGGGGAUACCUUUAAAACAAACAAACAAACAAACAAACAAAACAGGAUCUGUCUAUCACCUGUCCAAAUCCUGAAGCAAAAUGAGCCUUCUUUAUGGCCACCUUGGAAAGGCCUGAGUCCCCAGCAUCACCUGGGAUACAAAGUGUUCUGAGGUGAGGGCAGAGUGCCCUCCUGCCCAGAUGCCACACUCCACAAUAUCUCUUCCUGGCAGACAGGUUUCUCUUAACUUCCUUUGGCAAAUUUGGUUUCACUUCCUUUUGCAACUUUAGAACCUUUCUCAGGUCGGUCAUAAGGUAGUGGAGAAGCCAGGAUUUGAACCCAUUCUGUCUGAUUCCAGAGCUCAUGCAUUAACCACCUGACUGUGGUGCCUCCCCAUCAUAUGUGCAUCAAGUAUGAUCAUUUUUGUAGUUCUCAGAGUACUUAGCACCAUGCACAUCUGUAAUAAGUACAGCCACUGCCUACUGGGAGGUCUAAAGGUUCAACUCAUAAGGGACCCACAGGCCACACUGGGCUCUAGUCUCCUUAAAAGAUGUGGGACGGAGAUCAACAAUUGUCAGCAGAACCCCAUCAGGCAUCUGUCUUCUCAUUGAGCCUUGCAGCAAACCACACAGCUGUCUAUAACCUAUCUGUUCUCAGAUGCAAGAACACAAGCUGCUCAUCAGUUGGGUGCAGGAUCCACUCUAGUACAAAAGCUGUGUGUCUCAAGGCAUAAUUCCUUAUGAUUACUUCAUAGCUCUGCUUUUGCCUUGAGACAAAAGAAAUUUCCUUCAAUUCCUACUUUUGCUGAGAUAUUGUUUUUUGAAAAUCAAUUAAAUCUUGUCAAUCACUUUUCCCACCUCUUUGAGAUACUUACAUGGCUUUUCUUCUUUAUUCUCUUAGUGUGGUAAAUUACACUGAUUGAUUUUAAAUAUGAAACCAGCCUUGAAUUCCAGGAACAAACUCCAUUUGGGCAUGCUAGAACAACCUUUUAUAUUUGGUUAGAUUUGAUUUCCUGAAGUGGUGUUAAAAGAUUUUCAUAUCUAUGUCCGUGAGGGAUAUUAAUCUGUACAUUUUUUAUUACUAUUUUCUGGUGUUAUGGUAAUGCUAGUCUCAUAGAAUGAAUUAGGAAAAGUUGCCUCCUUCUGUAUUUUCUGAGAGUUUGUGUGGCACUGGUAAAAUAUUUUCUGUAUAUGUUUGACAUAAUUCACCAGGAAAAUUAUUUGUACCUACAAGUUCCCUCCUGGAAAGAUGUUGAUAAUCACUUAUUAUCCUUUCAUUGUCUGCCAGAUCUGUGGCAUUGCUUUUUUCUCUGGUAUUAGUAAUUUAAAUUUUCCCUUAUUUCUUGAUCAAUUUUGGCAGACAUUUAUCAAUUUUAUUAAUCCCUUUAAAAAAUCUGUAUUUAGCUUUGUUAAUUUUCUCUAUUACAUACUUUUUAUUUCUACUCUUACGAUUACUAUUUCUUUAUUUCUCCUUUGGAUUUAGCCCAUUUUUCUAUUUGUCUAAUUUUAGGAUUUAAAAUUCAAUCAUUAUUUUUAGAUAUUUUUAUUUUUAAAUAUAAACUCUAAAGUUGCAAUAUUACCUUGGGCACUGUUUUGACUGCAUUCCACAAGUUUUUAUUUGUCAUGUUUUAAUCACCAUUCAGUUCAAAAUACUUUCUAAUGCUCCUUGUUAUUUCUUCUUUGACCCAUUGGUUAUAUAAAAGUAUGUUUUGCUUUAUUUCUAAAUAUGUGAAGACUUUCUAGAUAUCUCAGUUAUUUAUUACUAAUUUAAUUUUAUUGUAGCCAGAGAAAAUACACUGUAUGUGUUCAAUCUUUGGAAAUUUCUUGAGACUUAUUUUUUGACCCAGUAUGUUUGCCCUCAUGAACAUUCCAUAUUCACUAGAAAAAGAAUGUGUGUUCAAAUAAUGUUGGAUAUAGUGUUAUGCAAAUGCCACUAAAUCAAGAUAAAUCUUUUGCACUCUUGUUUUUUGCCUGCUUGUUCUAACAAUAAGUGAGAAAGAAGUGUUAAUAUCUCCAAUUGUGAUUGUAAUUUGACUGUUAUCUUUUAGUUUGGUCAGUUUUUGCCUGUUGAAAUUCUGUUAUUAAAACAUAAACAUUUAAGAUAUUUAUAUCUUCCCAAGAGAGAUGCUAAAGAAAAGUGUAAAAAACCAAAGACAUUCUUAUGUACAUCAGAAUAUAUGGACAAAAACUUUCACAGCAACAUCAUUAUUGCAAGUAACUGAAAGCAAUACAAAGGCACAUCAACAAAAGAUUGGACAGAUAAAUUGUUCCUUCAAUGGCAAUGAAAAUGGAUGUUACAGAGAUACAUGGAUACAUGGAAUACCCUGAGUGAAUCUUACAUUUAUUUUGCAGAAGAUAUCAAACCAAACAGAGCACAUAUUAUUCCAUUCAUGUAAAGGUCAGUAACAGCCACAUAUAAACUAUAUUUUGGAGAUUCAUACACAAUAGAAAAAACUAUUUAAAAAGUCAGGUAAUACUGAUUUUAAAAAUCAGGAUGUUGAAUUCAUCUGGGUGUUGAGGGAGGAGCACAUUGUGACCCAGACAGAGCACUCAGGACUCUGAGCACACUAAUACUCUGUAUUGCCUUCAGUGGUAGUUACAUCAGUAUCAACUUAAGAAAAAUUUAUUAAAAUCUACAUAAAUAAUAAAUAAUUUUCUAUAUGUAUGUUAUAUUUCCCAAUGCUAUGAAAUGAAUUGUGUCUCCCCAAAAUGUAUGUGUUGAAGUCCUAGCCCCCAGCACCUCAGAAUGUGACCGCAUUUGGAGAUAGAACCCUUUUUUUUUAUUUUUGAGACACAGUUGCCCAGACUAGAGUGUAGUGGCGUGAUCUCGGCUCACUGACCUCUGCCUCCUGGCUCAAACAAUUCUCAUGCCUCAGCCUCCUGAGGAGCUGGGAUUACAGGUGUGUGCCACCGCAUAUGGCUAAUUUUUGUAUUUUUAGUAGAAAUAGUAGACGCCAUGCAUAAAUACCAAUUCUCUCCAAAUUGAUCUAUUUCUCAAUCUACAAAUAUUCUACUGGUGAUCUCAUCCAAGGUUGUGGCUGCAAGUACACCACUACAAGCCAAAAAAUUAUGUGUAUAUCUCCAUCUCAGGCUUGUCUUCCAAAC